rnacentral:rRNA from 1 species
CGUGUGGUUCUAUUUUGUUGGUUUCUAGGACCGCCGUAAUGAUUAAUAGGGACAGUCGGGGGCAUCAGUAUUCAAUUGUCAGAGGUGAAAUUCUUGGAUUUAUUGAAGACUAACUACUGCGAAAGCAUUUGCCAAGGAUGUUUUCAUUAAUCAGGAACGAAAGUUAGGGGAUCGAAGACGAUCAGAUACCGUCGUAGUCUUAACCAUAAACUAUGCCGACUAGGGAUCGGACGGUGUUAUUUUUUGACCCGUUCGGCACCUUACGAGAAAUCAAAGUGCUUGGGCUCCAGGGGGAGUAUGGUCGCAAGGCUGAAACUUAAAGAAAUUGACGGAAGGGCACCACCAGGGGUGGAACCUGCGGCUUAAUUUGACUCAACACGGGGAAACUCACCAGGUCCAGACACUGUGAGGAUUGACAGAUUGACAGCUCUUUCUUGAUUCUGUGGGUGGUGGUGCAUGGCCGUUCUUAGUUGGUGGAGUGAUUUGUCUGUUUAAUUGCGAUAACGAACGAGACCUUAACCUGCUAAAUAGCCCGUUCUGCUCCGGCAGUUCGCCGGCUUCUUAGAGGGACUAUCGGCUCAAGCCGAUGGAAGUUUGAGGCAAUAACAGGUCUGUGAUGCCCUUAGAUGUCCUGGGCCGCACGCGCGUUACACUGACAGAGCCAGCGAGUAUUUCCUUGGCCGGAAGGUCCGGGUAAUCUUGUUAAACUCUGUCGUGC